rnacentral:misc_RNA from 1 species
GAAAUGCGAUAAGUAAUGUGAAUUGCAGAAUUCAGUGAAUCUUCGAAUCUUUGAACGCACAUUGCGCCCGCCAGUAUUCUGGCGGGCAUGCCUGUUCGAGCGUCAUUUCAACCAUCAAGCCCCCGGCUUGUGUUGGGGACCUGCGGCUGCCCGCAGGCCCUGAAAAACAGUGGCGGGCUCGCUGUCACACCGAGCGUAGUAGCAUACAUUCUCGCUCAGGGCGUGCUGCGGGUUCCGGCCGUUAAACGACCUUCAUAACCCAAGGUUGACCUCGGAUCAGGUAGGAAGACCCGCUGAACUUAAGC